CAUGUAUGUAUCACCUGGUGUUCACAGUCCCAGAAGUCUCAAUCACACUUCACCUUGUCAAUUUUGUUGUGCUGAAAAUGGAGACGAGUGCCUCUUCCCCUUUGUACUAGUAUCUUGUGAAAUAAUUAAUAAGUACACAUGAACCUCAUGUUUUGCUGGAUGUAGUAUAUAUUUUCAAUUGUGGCUGAGCUUAAUCUGGCAAUCUGAUGAUUUUUAACUGCCUCUGCGCUUUGUACUACUUCUGCAUGCAUGCUUCUCUCAUUCUUUCUUGGGAUAUAAUUGGUCUUU
rnacentral:lncRNA from 1 species